rnacentral:rRNA from 1 species
AACGUAAACAACCUGCCUUAAGGAUGGGGAUAACAGACGGAAACGACUGCUAAUACCGAAUACGUUCUAAGCAUCGCAUGGUGCAUAGAAGAAAGGGUGGCCUCUACAAGAAAGCUAUCGCCUUAAGAGGGGUUUGCGACUGAUUAGGUAGUUGGUGAGGUAACGGCUCACCAAACCGACGAUCAGUAGCCGGUCUGAGAGGAUGAACGGCCACACUGGAACUGAGACACGGUCCAG